ensembl:snoRNA
AAGACUAUACUUUCAGGGAUCAUUUCUAUAGUUUAUGACUUGAGAAAUGUGUUUCUAAACAGUUUGGUCUCGCUAACCACGAUGAAGAGGUCGUGAUACUCCUUCCUGAGCGCGAAGCGGACGGAGAGGCAAGAUUCACAUCUUGACUCUUCGUCUUUGAUGACCGUUCAUUGUCUCUUCUCGAGAUGUUGAGGGGAGGAGUAUGAUCAGAGUGGCA